rnacentral:rRNA from 1 species
AUUGAACGCUGGCGGCAUGCUUUACACAUGCAAGUCGAACGGCAGCACGGGUGCUUGCACCUGGUGGCGAGUGGAGAACGGGUGAGUAAUGCACCGGAACGUACCCAGUAAUGGGGGAUAACACAUCGAAAGAUGUGCUAAUACCGCAUACGCCCUGAGGGGGAAAGCGGGGGAUCGUAAGACCUCGCGUUAUUGGAGCGGCCGAUGCCGGAUUAGCUAGUUGGGGAGGUAAAGGCUCACCAAGGCGACGAUCCGUAGCUGGUCUGAGAGGACGACCAGCCACACUGGGACUGCGACACGGCCCAGACUCCUACGGGAGGCAGCAGUGGGGAAUUUUGGACAAUGGGCGCAAGCCUGAUCCAGCCAUGCCGCGUGAGUGAAGAAGGCCUUCGGGUUGUAAAGCUCUUUCGCAAGGAAAGAAAACUUACCUUCUAAUAAAGGGUGGGGUUGACGGUACCUUGAUAAGAAGCACCGGCUAACUACGUGCCAGCCGCCGCGGUAA